CUUCAUUAAUUUCUCUAAUAGGGCCUGUUUAAUGGCGUUGUUUUUAUUUCCUAAUCUCAUUUUCUGUUUUUAUUUUUUUAUUACAAAACUGUAACUAUUUUUCUAUCUGUUUUUUUCUUCAAAGAUUUGUACAAGGAAGAAACAACUUUUUUUUGUUUUCUCGUUUUCCUGUACAAAUACUUGAAAAUAAGAAAUAAAUUGAAUACAAGGUGACAAAUUUUGUAAUUAACAAGUGAAAACAGAAAAUGAAAACUCAAGCUAACGUCCUUAUUGGUUGAAAAGGAGCGUGUGUCCACACAUUGCUGGAAAGAGUGUUACUAGCUAUUUUCAUAUAAAUAAUAUUCUAUUUACCAUUGUGAUGUAUAUGCAUGUAUAUUCAUGAUCCUCAGGCAUGCAAGUUGGAGAAAAGAGAAGACUUGUAAUUCCACCAUCAUUGACGUCUGAGAGUGAUGGUUCAAGUGCCAAGAUACCACCAAAUUCAUGGUUGGUUUAUGACUUUGAACUGGUUAAAGUUCAUUGAAUAUUUCAUCCAACCGAAUGUGGCUGAUUACAUUUUUUGGAUGAACGCGAAAAAAACGGAGUUAUACAGUGGACUGUCAAAAACCAACUGUACGUCAAAGUUUUUAUUUUUUGGUUGAAUCUCUGGUGUCCGGUGAAUAGUUUUUGGAGUGGAACAGUGGUUGACUCGCGCAACCAAAUCCGAAGUCUUGAUUCUGAGUGAAAAUGUUCAAACACAUAACGGGCUGAUUUCCUUAUUGUGAUAAAAGCAAACAUUAAACAACUGAAUACAAAAUGUUUCCGUAGUGGAUUAGUUAA